GUUUCUGUGGUGUAGUGGUUAUCACGUUCGCCUAACACGCGAAAGGUCCCUGGUUCGAAACCAGGCAGAAACA
rnacentral:tRNA from 1 species